ACGGGUGAGUAAUGUAUCGGAACGUGCCUAGUAGCGGGGGAUAACUACGCGAAAGCGUAGCUAAUACCGCAUACGCCCUACGGGGGAAAGCAGGGGAUCGCAAGACCUUGCACUAUUAGAGCGGCCGAUAUCGGAUUAGCUAGUUGGUGGGGUAACGGCUCACCAAGGCGACGAUCCGUAGCUGGUUUGAGAGGACGACCAGCCACACUGGGACUGAGACACGGCCCAGACUCCUACGGGAGGCAGCAGUGGGGAAUUUUGGACAAUGGGGGAAACCCUGAUCCAGCCAUCCCGCGUGUGCGAUGAAGGCCUUCGGGUUGUAAAGCACUUUUGGCAGGAAAGAAACGUCAUGGGUUAAUACCCCGUGAAACUGACGGUACCUGCAGAAUAAGCACCGGCUAACUACGUGCCAGCAGCCGCGGUAAUACGUAGGGUGCAAGCGUUAAUCGGAAUUACUGGGCGUAAAGCGUGCGCAGGCGGUUCGGAAAGAAAGAUGUGAAAUCCCAGAGCUUAACUUUGGAACUGCAUUUUUAACUACCGAGCUAGAGUGUGUCAGAGGGAGGUGGAAUUCCGCGUGUAGCAGUGAAAUGC
rnacentral:rRNA from 1 species